CUAAGAGGGAUGGUUCCCUUUUUUAUUGAGAGAUAGAGGGGGGAAUUUAUUUCAUAAGGGUACUCCUAAUUCGUACGUAAUGAAAUGGCUUGUAACUUCCUCGUAAUAUUUAUCUAUCGUGCACCUUCAGGCGAUGUAAAAAGGUUUGUAACCGUUACGGUGGGAGCUUGGUUUUUUAUGUCGAGGAGAAAUUCUGUGCAGUUGCCCCAGGCGUCAAUUAUGGGCUCAAGUUCCAAGCGUCUCGAAACUGUUUUCUUACUUACGGGGUAUCACAUCUGGCCGACAAGUAGCGAGGUAGGCUAGAAAGAUAUUGUCUCAGUAUUCCGGGUGCAUUCAACUGUGUGGUAUUCACAUCAAGAGACCUGCUUGCAGGAUACUUCGAUGCUGCGUAUACAAGAUCAUGUGGGUUACGGUUGCAGUGUGGACGACCAACCCUGUAUUUCUUGCAAAAAAACUUCUGUACUUGGAGUGCCAAUUUGAGUAAGAGAUAGAUCUGAUUAAGUUGUUCUGUAUCGGUUACCGCUCAAGAGGGAGGAUAUAAAAGGAACAGAUAGGCUUCUUAGAUGAGAAAGGGCGUUUCUGCUUACUGACGGGGGUCGGUGUGCAAUUAAAUUCCCUUUUAUGCUAAGAUCCUAAUAUAGUGGUACAUGUGAUGAUAGCCAUUCCGGGAAUGUGGUCUAUGAUUUCUUGCCCCCUUCUUUUUCCUUUUGCAUAACCUUUGUAUUAUUUUCCUUCUUUCUCUAUGAUGUAUCUUCGCCUGAUCUGGUUCGCCAGCAUAGGUUGAAGUUGUCAUAAAGAAAAAGGGAAAUAAUACAAUAAAAUUGUAAAAAAGAGAGGAAGUGGAAUGGAAAAAGUAGGCCGCAUUUCGGCGACCCUUCUCAUGGUCUUAUCCACUAAUGAGCGGCACUAGAGUGCUUAGAUAUAAAUCGUAAGUAUAUAUUCCUACUCUAGCGUCCGUUGAAUAUUACGUAACAAAAAGGAAGUUACUCGCACAUCAUGAAAAUAGAUAGAAAGGUAGUAAGUACUGCUCCGCGUUCUGCAUGCAGCGCUACUUUU